CCGCCCAGCGAGGCGGGGUGCGGGGCACCCCUGCAAGGCGAGGGAGGCUGGGGGGCUCCCCAUUCUGGGGGCCCGUGCCUCACGGAGCCCACCCACGCGGGACGCCCGUUCCCAGGGGGCCGGAGCAGCCAGGACUUUGUCCCCGUGGGCUCAAUUAGGACCCCGAUCUUCGGUGGAGCCCAAUGAGGACCCCCACGCCCUGGUGGGACCCCAUGAAUCAGAACCCGUGCUCCCCGUGGAGAUCGGUUAGGACCUCUGUCCUCUGUGGAGCCCCGUCAAGACUUUCCUGCCCCAUAGGGUCCGUUCGAUCAGGAACCCCGUCCUCGGUGGGACUCCGCAAGUCAGGACCCCCGUGUCUUGUUGGGGGCAGCUCAGUGGGAACCCCCGUUCCCCAUGGGGCCCAGGAGGAUCUCAUUUUAGAGCCCAGUUGGUUGGGGCACCCGUUUCUAGGGACCCCACUGCGUCAGGACCCCGCACCCUGUGCAGCUCAGGAGUCAAAGGAUUCCUUUUCUCCAGAAGCCCAAUUUGAGACCCCAUAAAGUGAACAGGUAUUGCUGCCCAGCUAAUCCUACGGCACUAAAGAACUCACGCAUGCGCGGCACGCUUCGAACGCGUGACCCAAUCCCAACCCCAGGAGACCCUGCCCCUUCCAUUCUGGCUCUCCGGGCCUCCCCAGCAAGGUGGGGCGCUCGCGCUCCCCUAAGGGGGCCUGGCCUGCAGAGGGUGGGACCUUGAUCUUCGAUUGGCCCAGCCCUCGCCAGUGUUGCUUUAGGAUUGGUCGGCUUGUGCUCCUCUCCCCUCCCUCCCUGGGGCUUCCGCUUCCGGUUCUGACGGACGCUUUGGCCGUAACGAUGAUCGGAGACAUCCUGCUGUUCGGGACGUUGCUGAUGAAUGCUGGGGCAGUGCUGAACUUUAAGCUGAAAAAGAAGGACACGCAGGGCUUUGGGGAAGAGUCGAGGGAGCCCAGCACAGGUGACAACAUCCGGGAAUUCUUGCUGAGCCUCAGAUACUUUCGAAUCUUCAUCGCCCUGUGGAACAUCUUCAUGAUGUUCUGCAUGAUCGUGCUGUUCGGCUCUUGAAUCCCAGCGAUGAAACCAGGAACUCACUUUCCCGGGAUGCUGAGUCUCCAUUCCUCCAUUCCUGAUGACUUCAAGAAUGUUUUUGACCAGAGAACCGACAACCUUCCCAGAAAGCCCAAGCUCGUGGGUCUGCUUGGCCACUCAGUGCAGCUGUGAUUAACCCUAAGGCUUUAAGGAACGGGCCACCUGUAACAGGGACACCAGCCUUCCGGUAUAGAAACUAAAUUGUUAGCAAGAGCGUUGAGCUAGUUCCUGGUGCAGUGUUUCCACAGAAGACAUGUGGAGCAGUUGUGGGAAUGUUAAGGGAAAUUUUCCUCUGCCUUGACCCCUUUGUUAAAUAAAAUGACUUUGGGAGCCAUUCAUUGUACGGUUGCAAGAAUGAGAGUGAUUUUAUGAUGUGGUGACAUUGGGACCAUGUUCUAAAACCUUGGGUUUCUGAGUCUGCUUUUUGAGUAGGUGAUUUUGAGGUUGAAAAACCAGGGGCCUGCAUCUAGGAAAUACAGCAUUUUCCAGAAGCUUCUUUGAAAGGGAAUCCUGGUUUCGUUGCCAAAAUGAAACACCCGGGGUUGGCGCUGAAUCCCACAGCUGUGUGAUUUGCUCGUUGAGUUUUUUGUUGUCUGCUUUUUUCUGUUUGUUUGUUUAUACCAGUAAGAAUGAGCCCGAAUGUUGGUGGUUUUUGAAAUCCUGACUUGGAGGUAAACCUGGAGGAAGGAAAAAAAGUAAAUAUGCAGGCUUUUAGGACUGAGUAGCCUUGAAAAUAAACCUCAUUU